CCUACGGGGGGCUGCAGUGGGGAAUAUUGGACAAUGGGGGGAACCCUGAUCCAGCCAUGCCGCGUGUGUGAAGAAGGCCCUCGGGUUGUAAAGCACUUUCAGUGAGGAAGAACGCCUGGUGGUUAAUACCCAGCAGGAAAGACAUCACUCACAGAAGAAGCACCGGCUAACUCCGUGCCAGCAGCCGCGGUAAUACGGAGGGGGCGAGCGUUAAUCGGAAUUACUGGGCGUAAAGCGCGCGUAGGUGGCUUGAUAAGCCGGUUGUGAAAGCCCCGGGCUCAACCUGGGAACGGCAUCCGGAACUGUCAAGCUAGAGUGCAGGAGAGGAAGGUAGAAUUCCCGGUGUAGCGGUGAAAUGCGUAGAGAUCGGGAGGAAUACCAGUGGCGAAGGCGGCCUUCUGGACUGACACUGACACUGAGGUGCGAAAGCGUGGGUAGCAAACAGGAUGAGAUACCCUGGUAGUC
rnacentral:rRNA from 1 species